rnacentral:rRNA from 1 species
UAGGGAAUCUUCGGCAAUGGGGGGAACCCUGACCGAGCAACGCCGCGUGAGUGAAGAAGGUUUUCGGAUCGUAAAGCUCUGUUGUUAAGGAAGAACGAGUGUGAGAAUGGAAAGUUCAUACUGUGACGGUACUUAACCAGAAAGGGACGGCUAACUACGUGCCAGCAGCCGCGGUAAUACGUAGGUCCCGAGCGUUGUCCGGAUUUAUUGGGCGUAGAGCGAGCGCAGGCGGUUAGAUAAGUCUGAAGUUAAAGGCAGUGGCUCAACCAUUGUAGGCUUUGGAAACUGUUUAACUUGAGUGCAGAAGGGGCGAGUGGAAUUCCAUGUGUAGCGGUGAAUUGCGUAGAUAUAUGGAGGAACACCAGUGGCGAAGGCGACUCUCUGGACUGUAACUGACGCUGAGGCUCGAAGGCGUGGGUAGCAAACAGG